GACAGAGGCCUCAAGCGUUAGGCGGAAUCACUGGGCUUAAAGCGUGUGUAGGCGGAUGCCUAAGUACCUUGUGAAAUCCCACGGCUCACCCGUGGAACUGCUGGGUAUACUGAGCAUCUUGGGCCAACUAGGGGCGACUGGAACAAGCGGUGGAGCGGUGAAAUGCGUAGAUAUCGCUUGGAACGCCAAAGGUGAAAACAGGUCGCUGGGGUUGUGCCGACGCUGAGACACGAAAGCCAGGGGAGCAAACGGG
rnacentral:rRNA from 1 species